UACAGAGGGUGCGAGCGUUGUUCGGAAUUAUUGGGCGUAAAGGGCGCGUAGGCGGUGCGGUAAGUCACCUGUGAAAUCUCCUGGCUCAACUGGGAGCUUGCAGGCGAAACUGCCGUGCUGGAGUGUGGGAGAGGUGCGUGGAAUUCCCGGUGUAGCGGUGAAAUGCGUAGAUAUUUGGAGGAACACCGGUGGCGAAAGCGACCAUCUGGGGCGUUACUGACGCUGAGGUUCGAAAGCUCGGGGAGCAAACAGG
rnacentral:rRNA from 1 species